GUCUACAGCAGUACCACCCUGAACACGCCCAAUCUCAUCUGAUCUCGGAAGCUAAGCAGGAUUGGGCCUGAUUAGUACUUGGAUGGGAGAGACCGUUAUCAGCACCAAUAGAGGGAGACC
rnacentral:rRNA from 1 species